CAAUAGCGUAUAUUAAAGUUGUUGCAGUUAAAAAGCUCGUAGUUGGAUUUCUGGUAGGAGUGACCGUUCCGAACUUGAUUGUUCGUGUAUUGUGUUUUCUCCAGCCAUCCUUGUGGAGAACUUUUCUUGCAUUAAUUUGUAGGGAUUGGGACCCGCAUCGUUUACUGUGAAAAAAUUAGAGUGUUUAAAGCAGGCAAUCGCUUGAAUACAUUAGCAUGGAAUAAUAAGAUAGGACCUUGGUACUAUUUUGUUGGUUUGCAUACCAAAUUAAUGAUCAACAGGAACAGUUUGAGGAUAUUCGUAUGAACAUGUCAGAGGUGAAAUUCUUGGAUUUUGAUCAGACGAACUACUGCGAAAGCAUUUAUCAAGGAUGUUUUCAUUAA
rnacentral:rRNA from 1 species